GUUGCUAUGGUCGCAGAUUAUGUUGCACAUCACAUCCGGGGUGCUCGGGUUAAGGUCUAUAACACGUCUUUAACACACUCCUGACAGGAGCGCAGUGGUGUGUGUGUGUGUCUAGUGUGUGUGUGGGGAUGUGAGCGCGAUGGCCGAGGACAGUGAGUGGGUGCCGGAGAGCGUCGCGGGGUUCCUGGGCAGCCCAGACUGGCUCAUCCCGCUAGCGGACUUCAUGGAGAACCACUGCUCAGUGUUCGACGAUGAGGACGAGAAUAAGCUGAGCUACACAGAGGUCCAUCAGCAGUACAAGCAUCUGGUGGAGCGGCUGCUGGGGAACUACAUGCAGGAGGUGGGCAUCAGUGAGCAGCAGUUCCUGUGCGCGUGCUCGUCCUUCACCGGCUCCAAAGAUCUACAGGCGGUCUUCCAGCCAGUUCUCGCUACAGAUGAUUUCCAGAUGUUUCGCUCUCUGAUGGUCCAGAAGAACAUGGAGCUUCAGCUGCAGGCCCUGCAUGUCAUCAAGGAGAGAAACGGUGGGCUGCCCGAGUGUCUGACGGACGGUGUGGAUGUCAUGAGUGAACUGGAGCAGCAGGAGAUGAGGAUUCUGCAGGAGGUGCUCCAGAGGUCGAAGGAGGAGUAUGAGCUGGAGAUGAUGGCUCUCAGGAUGCAGGAGCGAGAGGAUCAGGCCUCCACAUCCAGCAGUCUAUCAGACGCUCCUCUGGGAAACUCCUGUGAGACUCACACCGCCGGGGAUUCUGGGAUACGGCAGACCAACACAACCAACGGCAGCGAGACUGAAGCUCCAGAGCUGAGGAUCCAGCAGUCCGAGUCUGCAGCCGUCAGGGGUUCAGCGGCACGUGAGUGUAAAGGUGAAGCUCUUCCCGCUGUGAGGACACCCGUCAAGGGUUCAGUGUCGGCCAAUCACACGAGUCCAGACGACACACAGAGAGACUGCAGACCGCUCACGGAUGAGGAGGCGUUGCAGCAGCAUUGAUGUUAGGGUCUCUCUCUCUGUGUGUGUGUGUGUGUGUGUGUGUAGGAUGAGGAGGCGUUGCAGCAGCGCUCGGAGUAUCUGAAGCAGCAGAGAGACAGACUCCAGGCCCGGAAGAGAGACCAGACCCUGAAGAGUCCCACUGACACUCCUGCGACCCCGGAGCCCAAAGCCUCCGCACAGGAAAUCUCUGUCGAGGAGAAGAAGAGAUUGCAGAAGAGGAAACACCUGGCAGAGAAACUCAAAGAGGAAGUCAUCAAGAAAUAAAGCCUUUUGUAAAUGUUUCAUUCAUAUUUUUGUAUGUACCUGUAUGACGUUAGAUGAUCUCGCAUUACUCCUCAUGAACCUGUGGACGGUUAUUCGCUGUUUGCUCCAAUCUCUGGCAUGAUCACUUUAUUAAUGUCUGUUUCUGCAACAUGAUGUUUAAAGCUUUACUUGCUAAAAUAUUGGUAUGCAUUAUGGGAACUCUCACUAUUACGCAUAAGCUCAUUUACCAAUCUGUGGACAGAUGUUUUAUGAAAUGACCCAAUAAAGUAUCAUUUUUAGAGAGAAA